rnacentral:rRNA from 1 species
UGGGGAAUAUUGGACAAUGGGCGAAAGCCUGAUCCAGCAAUGCCGCGUGAGUGAUGAAGGCCUUAGGGUUGUAAAGCUCUUUUACCAGGGAUGAUAAUGACAGUACCUGGAGAAUAAGCUCCGGCUAACUCCGUGCCAGCAGCCGCGGUAAGACGGAGGAUGCAAGCGUUAUCCGGAAUUAUUGGGCGUAAAGCGUCCGUAGGCGGUUUAUCAAGUCAGUUGUUAAAGACUGCAGCUCAACUGUGGGCGAGCAACUGAAACUGAUGAACUAGAGUGCGGUAGGGGUAGAGGGAAUUCCCAGUGUAGCGGUGAAAUGCGUAGAUAUUGGGAAGAACACCAGUGGCGAAGGCGCUCUACUGGGCCGCAACUGACGCUGAGGGACGAAAGCUAGGGGAGCGAAAGGGAUUAGAUACCCCCGUAGUCC